UACGUAGGUGGCAAGCGUUGUCCGGAUUUACUGGGCGUAAAGCGUGCGCAGGCGGUUCGUUAUGUCCGUUGUGAAAGCCCCGGGCUCAACCUGGGAAUGGCAAUGGAAACUGGCGGGCUAGAGUGUGGCAGAGGGGGGUGGAAUUCCGCGUGUAGCAGUGAAAUGCGUAGAGAUGCGGAGGAACACCGAUGGCGAAGGCAGCCCCCUGGGCUAGCACUGACGCUCAGGCACGAAAGCGUGGGGAGCAAACAGG
rnacentral:rRNA from 1 species